rnacentral:rRNA from 1 species
UACGGAGGGUGCAAACGUUGCUCGGAAUCAUUGGGCGUAAAGCGCACGUAGGCGGACUGUUAAGUCGGAUGUGAAAUCCCUCAGCUUAACUGAGGAAGUGCACUCGAAACUGGCAGUCUUGAAUAUGGAAGAGGGUCGCGGAAUUCCCGGUGUAGAGGUGAAAUUCGUAGAUAUCGGGAGGAACACCAGUGGCGAAGGCGGCGACCUGGGCCAAUAUUGACGCUGAGGUGCGAAAGCGUGGGGAGCAA